UGGGGAAUUUUGGACAAUGGGCGCAAGCCUGAUCCAGCAAUGCCGCGUGCAGGAUGAAGGCCUUCGGGUUGUAAACUGCUUUUGUACGGAACGAAAAGCCUCUCUCUAAUACAGGGGGGUGAUGACGGUACCGUAAGAAUAAGCACCGGCUAACUACGUGCCAGCAGCCGCGGUAAUACGUAGGGUGCAAGCGUUAAUCGGAAUUACUGGGCGUAAAGCGUGCGCAGGCGGUUUUGUAAGACAGUGGUGAAAUCCCCGGGCUCAACCUGGGAACUGCCAUUGUGACUGCAAGGCUGGAGUGCGGCAGAGGGGGGAUGGAAUUCCGCGUGUAGCAGUGAAAUGCGUAGAUAUGCGGAGGAACACCGAUGGCGAAGGCAAUCCCCUGGGCCUGCACUAACGCUCAUGCACG
rnacentral:rRNA from 1 species